rnacentral:rRNA from 1 species
UACGGGGGAUGCAAGCGUUAUCCGGAUUUAUUGGGUUUAAAGGGUGCGUAGGUUGUUUUUUAAGUCAGCGGUGAAAGUUUGUGGCUCAACCAUAAAAUUGCCGUUGAAACUGGAAGACUUGAGUGUGUUUGAGGUAGGCGGAAUGCGUGGUGUAGCGGUGAAAUGCAUAGAUAUCGCGCAGAACGCCGAUUGCGAAGGCAGCUUACCGGCGCUCAACUGACGCUGAGGCACGAAAGUGCGGGUAUCGAACAGG